AUUGAACGCUGGCGGCAGGCCUAACACAUGCAAGUCGAGCGGAGCGGCGGACGGGUGAGUAAGGCCUAGGAAUCUGCCUGGUAGUGGGGGAUAACGUCCGGAAACGGGCGCUAAUACCGCAUACUAUCAGAAGAGCCUAGGUCGGAUUAGCUAGUUGGUGGGGUAAAGGCCUACCAAGGCGACGAUCCGUAACUGGUCUGCGAGGAUGAUCAGUCACCCUGGAGCUGGUACACGGUCCAGGCUCCUACGAGAGGCCGCAGUGGGGAAUAUUGGACAGUGGGCGAGAGCCUGAUCCAGCCGUGCCGCGUGUGUGAAGAAGGUCUUCGGAUUGUAAAGCACUUUCAGCGGGGAGGCGUUACCCGCAGAAGAAGCACCGGCUAACUCCGUGCCAGCCGCCGCGGUAAUAC
rnacentral:rRNA from 1 species